AACGAACGCUGGCGGCAUGCCUAACACAUGCAAGUCGAACGAGACCUUCGGGUCUAGUGGCGCACGGGUGCGUAACGCGUGGGAACCUGCCCUUAGGUUCGGAAUAACUCCCCGAAAGGGGUGCUAAUACCGGAUAAUGUCUUCGGACCAAAGAUUUAUCGCCUUUGGAUGGGCCCGCGUUGGAUUAGCUAGUUGGUAGGGUAAAAGCCUACCAAGGCGACGAUCCAUAGCUGGUCUGAGAGGAUGAUCAGCCACACUGGGACUGAGACACGGCCCAGACUCCUACGGGAGGCAGCAGCGGGGAAUAUUGGACAAUGGGCGAAAGCCUGAUCCAGCAAUGCCGCGUGAGUGAUGAAGGCCUUAGGGUUGUAAAGCGCUUUUACCCGUGAUGAUAAUGACAGUACCGGGAGAAUAAGCUCCGGCUAACUCCGUG
rnacentral:rRNA from 1 species